rnacentral:rRNA from 1 species
UACGUAGGGUGCGAGCGUUGUCCGGAAUUAUUGGGCGUAAAGAGCUUGUAGGUGGUUUGUCGCGUCUGCUGUGAAAAUCCGAGGCUCAACCUCGGACUUGCAGUGGGUACGGGCAGACUAGAGUGUGGUAGGGGGCAAUGGAAUUCCCGGUGUAGUGGUGGAAUGCGUAGAUAUCGGGAGGAACACCAGUGGCGAAGGCGGUUGCCUGGAGCUUUGCUGACGCUGAGGCGCGAAAGCGUGGGGAGCGAUCCGG